AUUGAACGCUGGCGGCAGGCCUAACACAUGCAAGUCGAGCGAGCGGCGGACGGGUGAGUAAUGUCUGGGAAACUGCCUGAGGGAGGGGGAUACCUACUGGAAACGGUAGCUAAUACCGCAUACCCUCAGAUGUGCCCAGAUGGGAUUGGCUAGUGGGUGGGGUAAUGGCUCACCAAGGCGACGAUCCCUAGCUGGUCUGAGAGGAUGACCAGCCACACUGGGACUGAGACACGGUCCAGACUCCUACGGGAGGAAGCAGUGGGGAAUAUUGCACAAUGGGGGCAAGCCUGAUGCAGCCAUGCCGCGUGUGUGAAGAAGGCCUUCGGGUUGUAAAGCACUUUCAGCGGGGAGGCGUUACCCGCAGAAGAAGCACCGGCUAACUCCGUGCCAGCAGCCGCGGUAAUUC
rnacentral:rRNA from 1 species